CUGACGUGGAUUGAUGUAGACUGAUGUUAGAUGCUGCAUAUUUGUGCUACAGUAGGUUUAGUUGUUUUGACAUUUUUACAAAAUGGGAGCCAACACAGGUGCCUAUAUAUUCCUCUUUGUUGCAUUCUCUGCGGCUGUAUCGACGGCAUUCAUCGGUCUGGGGGCCUUCACACCACUCUUGCUGGGGGCGUCAACCCUCACCGUCCCCUUCGCCGUGGACUUGAGGGAUUUCAGGCUGACUCACAAUUGGUUCUACCGACCACCCACCGAUGGCGCAAACACACCCCAGCCAUAAACUGUCACGUCACAUGUUGUGAAUAAAUACUUGUCACUCUG